rnacentral:lncRNA from 1 species
GGGUAGCCCAUGUCUCCAAGUUUUAGCCAUGCUGUGUGGGAGCAAGUGCCAGCUCGUUCUCUUCACAGGAAAUUGCAGUAGGAUAUUGCUGAAUGAAUGUAUCUAGGUGGAGCGUGGUGUCUGACCUAUGGAUGGCUCUGGAAAUCUAUGCAAUACUAUUAGAGAUAUACACAUUAUAAUAAGCAUAAUAUCAGUAAUAAGACCCAGGACAAUGGUAGCAGAAACAUUCAGAUAGAAAAGAUGUAUUUUGUCUGAGCCUGAAUUUUAUCUGUGCACCCUGUUUGGUCCCCAGUCAACAGGCUUCAGCAAAAACAAGUGGCACAAUUGUCAUGGAGCUUGGAGUAUGUGUAAAAUGUUGCUGACAUGCUUGGGACUUUGUGAAGAAUUAAAAGCUUCAGUCUGCUCUGGGUCAUCAGUCUUGUGACCAUACAUAGCAACAAAUGAACAUAAGAUCAGCAGAAAGGAGAGAUGGGGGCACUGGCUUAUUUUUUGAAGCCUAAUAUCUCUACUACUUUUCUUGCAAACAGGGAUCUUCAUUUUUCAGUGAAAACACCUCCUUCAAAAGACAGAAGCCUUACGAUUACCCUGUUAAUAUAAUUUUGUAAAAAAGUCAAAGCCAAAAAGCCUUCCCAUUCCCCAUAUAACUAAUAAGGAUUCCUAACUGCUUUUCAUUAGCAUUAAGCUUUCUCGUGGGGGAAACAUUCAUCAGACUCAUUACUUCUGCGGUGGUCCCAAUUUGCUGUCACACUCCCUCUUGGAAAUGUGUUUUAGUUAUAUAUGUAAGUAGUACUGGUAAAGUGAAUUAUUGUAUUUUGGGGCAGAAGGCACAGUUUAAAAGUCUUUUCCUAUUUUAUUACUGGUAAUGCAAAGAAGACGAAGAAACUGGAGCCUUUUUCGGCUUACAAACCAAAGCAUGAAGAUCUUAAAAUCACCAUAAUAUGGCAGUACCAUGAAUUCCCUUUUCUCUACUUCUUCACCAAAAUAAAAAGUUCAUAUCAUGUACUUAAGUGAUGGAC